CCUAGACAAAUAUGAAGAGAAAGGUCUCUGAUUCAAUUCUCUGUGAAGUUCAAGGACUUUCUCAGUCAAAUAUGGGAAGAUGUGAAAGGAUACAUAGAAAUCUUGGAGGACAAAUUGACGAGAGUCUUAAAAGACACAGAUAUGAAGAUAAACAAGAGGAAAAAAGAGCCAAACAUAGUUCAUUUUGUAGUUUAAAGGACUGCAGACUUCCUGAUAUCUUUCAAACUGUUGUGUUUUUUGGUAUAAAUGUAAUAAUGCAUUAUCAUCUUAUUUGUAUAGGCAUACAUCCUGAAAAUCUUGUUGGUACCUUUUAUCUCCAUUAAUGCAACCGCUAUUUAUAAAACAUUGUUGUGAUUGUAGUUUUAUAUGUGAGUUUAUUAGUUAACUAGUGCGUAGUAAUUGCAUAUAUGAAUUAUUUUAUACCAUAUCUAUCAAUCUUGGUCUUUUUAAUUAAGAAAUAAUUUUUAAAACCUUGCUCUUUCAAUCCUAGUACAUCUAUUUUAAUUACUUUGCAUAGUUUAUAAGUUUAAGUAAUGCCAUUUUAUUUCCACAUUUGAAUUUUACAACAAAAAAUACAUAAAGAUCAGAUUUAUAUCUGUUUUAACAGUUUAUUUAAUGGAAUAUUAUAUUUAUGUUUAAUUUGUAAUAUGCACUUUGUCUCAUUUUUUUUUCAAUUUGACACAUUUUCUUUUAUUAAUCAUCAAAUUUCAACAAAUGUUGGAAACAAACUUACAUAAAAACUUUUCAAAUGUAUCAAAAUUCUGUGUUGUAAAAUCUUAAAGAUUUUCUUUUUCAGUAUUUUUCCCAAUAUGUUUAAGAAAUCUGUAGCAUAAUUUUUGCUUGUAGAUUUUAUUUCGGGAUUUUUCCCGAAAUGGGUAAAAAAUCUAUGCAACAAGUGUGUGCCUGAUAAUAGAUUUAUAUUUUCGGGAUUUUUCCCGAAAUGUGAAAAUAAAUUAUUAGUCAUGAGUUCUAGCAUAUACGUUGGGUUUUCGGGAUAAAUCCCGAAGUAUUUAAAAUCUUGCAUAUAGAUUUUUUUUUUUUUUUAUUUUUCCCGAUAUGUUUGAAGAAAUCUGUAACAUAAAUUUUUGUAAAUUUGGUUUCAGGAUUUUACCUGAAAUGGUUAAAGAAAUCUAUUCAACAAGUGAUUUAGUUUUUCGGGACUUUUCCCGAAAUUUGAAAAGAAAUCAUUAGUCAUAAGUUUUAAGUUAUAGCAUAUUUAUAUGUUGGGUAUUCAGGAUAAUUCCUGAAAUGUUUGAAGACAUAUAUGCUUUAUACAUUUUACAUUUAGAUUAUUUUUUCGGGAUUUUUCCCGAAAUGUGUUUAAGAUCUGUUUGUCACAUAGCUAUUCUACCAAAAGUUUUAAUUAAUGUUGAAAGUGAUUUCGGGGAAAUUCCCGAAUAAAAAGUUGUCACAUACAUUUUUACCACAAAUAUUUUGGGAAAUUCCCCGAACACUAAAUGUAAGUUUUAUCAAUUAUAAGAAUAAAAGCAUGGAAGAUUGUAAAAA